ensembl:lncRNA
AUCAACAGCACACUUUGUGAGCUACUCUCUUCUGAGAGGAGUUUUACGGCUGCUUACCAUCCCCAAACAAAUGGGCUUGAUGAGAAAACCAAUGAUAACAUCAGACGUCCAAAAACUUUGGUCUUCUAAAGAUACAGGACAAGUGGAAGCGGUCGUGGGACCAUACAAAAUUUAUGAUACCUCUUUUAGAACACUAGCGGGACACGGCUGGCUUUCAGAUGAGGUGAAAGUACAUCCAUGUGAUAUACAAGUUUAAUGUUUCAGUGCUGUAUCAAAUUAAAUUACUAACAACUUUUUUUGUUUACACAGAUCAUUGAUGCAUACCUGCACUACAUUAUGAAAUUAGCCAAGAUACCUGUGCAUUGGUUAGACGCUGUACUUGGGUCCUCUGUCUUUCAUCGUGGCCAUUUAAAAAAGUGUGAAAAAGUGACGUGACAUACAGCCAAGUAUGGGGACCCAUACUCGGAAUCCGUGCUCUACUUUUAACCCAUCCAAAGUGCACACACACACCGUGAACACACACCUGGAGCAGUGGGCAGCCAUUUAUGCUGCGGCGUCCGGGGGGCAGUUGGGGGUUCGUUGCCUUGCUCAAGGGCACCUAAGUCGUGGUAUUGAGGGUGGAGAGAGCACUGUACAUGCACUCCCCCCACCUACAAUUCCUGCCGGCCAGAGACUCGAACUCACAACCCUUGGACUUCCUGUUUUUUUUUUUUUUUUUUUUAAGAGUUGUUCAAAAGAUGAAGUUACCCACAGCCUCAACUUGGAUUUGUCCUGUAAACGUUGGAGGUCACUGGAUUUUAGUGAUUGUCAAAAUGGAUGA